rnacentral:rRNA from 1 species
CCUACGGGAGGCAGCAGUGGGGAAUAUUGCGCAAUGGGCGAAAGCCUGACGCAGCGACGCCGCGUGAGGGAUGAAGGUCUUCGGAUCGUAAACCUCUGUCAGCAGGGAAGAACGGUCACUGUGCUAAUCAGCAGUGCAUUGACGGUACCUGCAAAGGAAGCACCGGCUAACUCCGUGCCAGCAGCCGCGGUAAUACGGAGGGUGCGAGCGUUAAUCGGAAUUACUGGGCGUAAAGCGCUCGUAGGCGGGAUGUCAAGUCAAGGGUGAAAUCCGCGCGCUGAACGUGGGAACUGCCUUUGAAACUGGCAAACUGGAGUGUGUGAGAGGCAAGUGGAAUUCCUGGUGUAGGAGUGAAAUGCGUAGAUAUCUGGAGGAACAUCAGUGGCGAAGGCGACUAUCUGGCACAUAACUGACGCUGAGGAGCGAAAGCGUGGGUAGCAAACAGGAUUAGAUACCCGAGUAGUC